AUAAUGGGUUUACUUCUUCUUCAAGACCAUGGUGAGAAAGAAAUGAUUAGGUUAGCUUUUGUACCUGAAUCACUUCUUCAUUCAGUGAUUUUCAAAGCUAGAAAUGAGUUAGGAAUAUCUUUGAAUUCUCCAUCAACACCUCAAUCACCUUCACCUUUUCAUUCAAGUAACCCUGUCCCUAUUUCAAGACAAAAUUCAAACUCUUCAAGACUCAUAAACAGUGGAAUGACCCUUCCUUCUAAUCUUAGUAUCCCAAAUCCAAAUUCAGCUUCUUGGGCUACUUUAUCUGAACUUCAAAACCAUGAUGAUUCUCCUUCCAUGAACAAUUCUUCACCCUUUUAUGGAAAUGGAGGAGUUGGUAAUGAUUCAAUUGAUGAGUUUCACCUUCAAGACCAACUCUCUUUCCUCAAUGAUGGAAAGAAUUCAGAUUUGUUUUACUCUCAGUCAGAGUUAUCUUCUAGUCCUAGUAAUGGUGGAAGUGUUGGUAAUGGUGUUGACCCUUCAUUUUUUCCAUCAUAUGGUUAUGGAGG
rnacentral:lncRNA from 1 species